AAAUUGAAGAGUUUGAUCAUGGCUCAGAUUGAACGCUGGCGGCAGGCCUAACACAUGCAAGUCGAACGGUAACAGGAAUCAGCUUGCUGAUUUGCUGACGAGUGGCGGACGGGUGAGUAAUGUCUGGGGAACUGCCCGAUGGAGGGGGAUAACUACUGGAAACGGUAGCUAAUACCGCAUAACGUCGCAAGACCAAAGAGGGGGACCUUCGGGCCUCUUGCCAUCGGAUGUGCCCAGAUGGGAUUAGCUAGUAGGUGGGGUAA
rnacentral:rRNA from 1 species